rnacentral:rRNA from 1 species
UACGUAGGUGGCAAAGCGGUUGAUCCGGAUUUAGCUAGGGCGUAAAGAGCGCGCUAGGCGGUCGGAUAAGUCCGGAAUGUGGAAAGCCCCGGCUCAACUGGGGAGGUCAUUGAUACUGUCACUCGGAAGGCAGGAGAGGGAAGUGGGAAUUCCCGGUGUAGUGGUGAAAUGCGUAGAUAUGGGAGGAACACCAGGUGGCGAAGGCGACCUUCCUGGCCUGUUCUUGACGCUGAGGCGCGAAAGCGUGGGGAGCAAACAGG